UACGUAGGGUGCGAGCGUUAAUCGGAAUUACUGGGCGUAAAGCGUGCGCAGGCGGCGCGUUAAGACAGGUGUGAAAUCCCCGAGCUUAACUUGGGAAUUGCGCUCGAAACUACGUGGCUCGAGUGUGGCAGAGGAAGGUGGAAUUCCACGUGUAGCGGUGAAAUGCGUAGAGAUGUGGAGGAACACCGAUGGCGAAGGCAGCCUCCUGGGCCGACACUGACGCUCAUGCACGAAAGCGUGGGGAGCAAACAGG
rnacentral:rRNA from 1 species